rnacentral:rRNA from 1 species
CCGACGGUGAGGGGCGAAAGCUGGGGGAGCAAACCGGAUUAGAUACCCGGGUAGUCCCAGCCGUAAACGGUGUGCGUUAGGUGUAUCGGUGACCACGAGUCACCGAGGUGCCGAAGAGAAAUCGUGAAACGUACCGCCUGGGAAGUACGGUCGCAAGGCUGAAACUUAAAGGAAUUGGCGGGGGAGCACCACAACAGGUGGAGCCUGCGGUUUAAUCGGACUCAACGCCGGGAAACUCACCAGAUAAGACAGCUGAAUGAUAGUCGGGCUGAAGACUCUACUUGACUAGCUGAGAGGAGGUGCAUGGCCGUCGUCAGUUCGUACUGUGAAGCAUCCUGUUAAGUCAGGCAACGAGCGAGACCCACGCCAACAGUUGCU